rnacentral:tRNA from 1 species
GGGGUUGUAGCUUAGUGGUAGAGUGCUUGCCUUGCAUGCAUGAGGCACUGGGUUCAAUCCUCAGAACCACA